UAUAAAUUGGCCAUCAUAUUAAGGAAAUAACGUUACAAUUAUGGGAAAUUUUAUUAUGAUUAAAUAUUUUAAUGAUAGUAUUUGACGAUACGUUUUCUUCGCGGCUAUAUUUUGUGUUAAAUUAAUAGUUGUUAAAAAUUUUAGAGAUAUCCUUGCAAAGCAUAAAGUAGCAAUUGUAUAUUGAAUGCAAGGUUAUUAAAUUCAUAAAAAUGCAUAAACUUCUUGUUUAUAAGUUAAAAUCUAUGAGGGAUCACUAUUAAUGUUUUCGUUGUAAAUUUAUUAAGAACCCGGAGAACGUUAAAUUUGUUUAAAUAUAAACAAACUUUAGUUAAUGUGAUAUAGAAGUAUCACAUUACUUAUAAAAGUGGAACAACACACGGAAAAUAAGUAAAUACGCCACUAAUUUCUGACAGGACAUGGUCUCUUGUUUAAACAUCUUUACGUAAUAAUAGGUGUCUCGGAAUGACCAUUGUGCAAUAAGUGUGGAGUAGAAGAGGAAGACUCAUUUCAUAUAAUGUGCGAAUGUGAAGUCGUCUUAUCCACACUAAGAUCAAACUACUUGAUUAAACCUUUUCCUGAAAAAGAAGAUAACAAAAACUUAAGACCCAGAGAGAUAUUUAACUUUAUUAGAAUGACAGGACCUUUUGGAACCCACGUGGGGUGACUUGAUAGUCCACCCUAUAUAAAAUAAUAGGGAUAAUGUAUUAACACUUCGGUGUGUAAACCGAAUAAAGACAAUUCGGUAUGAGGUGUGUAUAAUGGACCAACAGGUCGAGUGCAUGGGAAUUUUGUUCACCUCACUAAUAACUAAAACUCUUCUUUUUCCUCGCCUUAAUCCCAUAAAAUGGGGGUCGGUCAAUUCACUAAAAAAAGUCACGAAUAACUAAAACUAAAAUCUAUAUUAUUAUUAAAGCCUUAAAAAGUAUCACUUGGAAUUAAAAUAUUUCAACUUAUAUAACACAAAAAUGUGUUUCUAAAUCAUUUAGUAGGCUGUUAAACCGAACAAUGAAGUUCACUGCUUAAAAAUCUUGUUACUCUUGUUGAUAAAUACUCACAGGUUAAACGUAAUAUACAAUCAUUUUAAUAACGUUUUUUGAAAUUGUCUCAUUUAAUUAAUUAUGUAACAUUGUUACUCAAAAAUAUUUUGAAGUUUAUUGUAAAGAUCAAAAUACUUUUCAGGUAUUAUCCUUCAUUACAUAUGUCAUACA